GGAAGUAAAAGUCAUAACAAGGUUUCCGUAGGUGAACCUGCGGAAGGAUCAUUAAUGAGUUGUCAUGGGGUUCGAUGCUGGCAGCCAAUUUUUGGAUGCAUGUGCUUGCCCUAACAAUCAUCUUCCAAACACCUGUGCACAUUUUUGAGGGAGUCUUGAGUUGGUUGCCGCUCUUGGGUGAUUUUCUCACAUUCCCUUAAAUCAUUAUACGCUAUUAACAAUGUUGAACGUGCUCUGUGCCGCAAGGCUAUUAAUAUAAUACAACUUUUAACAACGGAUCUCUUGGCUCUC
rnacentral:misc_RNA from 1 species